UUACGCGAAUAUACAAGAUUUUACAAAAUAUUAUGAAUAUUGAGUUUAAUGAAUGAUAAGAUUAACAAAUGAUAAGUUUAACUAAUGAUUCCAAACGAAUCCACGGUCAACGGGAUAACUCUUUACUAUGCGUAGAAUAAUUUAAACACAAAAAAAAAUACGAUUGCUGAGGCACUCGGUAAAUUGCUCGAUGUAUCACUUUCCAAGGCGAUCACACGAAUGAAUAUCUGAUGAAAAUCUUUUUCGCUGUACGACUGCAUUUUUUUGUUGUAUACUUUUUGGAAGCAUCGAGAAAGAUCCAAACGUCGUUGCUAGGCAGCCUCUGUCUGGGGUCUGAUUCCUAAUACAACGUGUGUCCCAUUAUAUCGACAUCUCCAAAGUACAAUUCUAUGUGAUUUCUAGGGAGAACAAUACAACCGAUCCACACCUUCGUCAGGCAAAACGUUUAUCCCGUGACCGCGGCUACGCUCGGCGACCAGCUGCCACCUCGAACCCACCCUCGCCAUCACAUAUAUCGAACAAUUACAAAUGACAACAAUUGCUUAAUUACAGCUAUGACAAAAUCCAGGCUAAAGCACCAGAAGACUCUCGCAAAAUUGCAAAGGGAAGGCUCCGGUUUUCCUUUCAUCUCCGACACGUUCUUUUGUGAUCCCGUUGGCCGCGGAUUCGUUGUCGGGCCUGAGACCAUCGUCACUAGUGUCGCGAGUGCCAAUUGUCGUGAUCAAUUGUCAAGACUGUAAUAACUCUAUUAUUGUAAUAAACUACACCUGCGUGUACCGUACCAAUGGCUAA